CAGUAGCCGCGGUAAUACGAAGGGGGCUAGCGUUGCUCGGAAUGACUGGGCGUAAAGGGCGCGUAGGCGGAUUGCGCAGUCAGAUGUGAAAUUCCUGGGCUUAACCUGGGGGCUGCAUUUGAGACGCGUAGUCUAGAGUGUGAAAGAGGGUCGUGGAAUUCCCAGUGUAGAGGUGAAAUUCGUAGAUAUUGGGAAGAACACCGGUGGCGAAGGCGGCGACCUGGUUCAUAACUGACGCUGAGGCGCGAAAGCGUGGGGAGCAAACAGGAUUAGAUACCCGCGUAGUCCCUGUCUCUUAUAC
rnacentral:rRNA from 1 species